GCCGGCACCGUGAACUCGUGCGACGUGAUGGUGGGCGUGCACGGGGCGGGGCUGACCAACAUGGUGUUCCUCCCCACCAACGCCGUGCUGAUCCAAGUGGUGCCGCUGGCGAAGCUGGAUUGGAUAGCGGCGAACUACUACGCGGAGCCUGCCAAGGGGAUGAAGCUGCGGUACUUGCAGUACGAGAUAAGCGAGGAGGAAAGCACGCUGAUCGAGCUGUAUCCCAGAGACCACAAGGUGUUCAAGGAUCCGGACUCGAUUCACAAGCAAGGGUGGAAGAAGAUGGGGGAGGUGUACCUGCGGAAGCAGAACGUGAAGCUUAAUGUGAACCGAUUCCGACCGGUCCUGGAGAAGGCGCUGCAGCUUCUCAAAGAGAAAGCAGAGCACACGAGAGAGUAAGCCAGAGAUUUUACAGUCGAUAUUAUCCGGUAGAUAUGUUCUUUUUC
rnacentral:lncRNA from 1 species